GCAUAUCAAUAAGCGGAGGAAAAGAAACUAACAAGGAUUCCCCUAGUAACGGCGAGUGAAGCGGGAAGAGCUCAAAUUUGAAAUCUGGUGGCCUCAGGUCAUCCGAGUUGUAAUCUAUAGAAGUGUUUUCCGUGCUGGCUCAUGUACAAGUCCCUUGGAACAGGGCGUCAUAGAGGGUGAGAAUCCCGUCCUUGACAUGAACUACCAGUGCUCUGUGAUACAUUUUCAACGAGUCGAGUUGUUUGGGAAUGCAGCUCAAAAUGGGUGGUAAAUUCCAUCUAAAGCUAAAUAUUGGCGAGAGACCGAUAGCGAACAAGUACCGUGAGGGAAAGAUGAAAAGCACUUUGGAAAGAGAGUUAAACAGUAUGUGAAAUUGUUGAAAGGGAAACGAUUGAAGUCAGUCGUGCUCUUUGGAUUCAGCCGGUUCUGCCGGUGUACUUCCUUUGAGUGGGGUCAACAUCAGUUUUGAUCGCUGGAUAAAGGCAGGAGGAACGUAGUACCCUCGGGUAAACUUAUAGCCUCUUGUCACAUACAGUGGUUGGGACUGAGGAACGCGGCACGCCUUUAUGGCCGGGAUUCGUCCACGUACGUGCUUAGGAUGUUGACAUAAUGGCUUUAAACGACCCGUCUUGAAACACGGACC
rnacentral:rRNA from 1 species